GACAGAGGGUGCAAACGUUGCUCGGAAUCACUGGGCGUAAAGGGCGUGUAGGCGGGUAGAUAAGUCGGGCGUGAAAUCCCUAGGCUCAACCUAGGAACUGCACUCGAAACUGCUUAUCUUGAGUGCCGGAGAGGAAAGCGGAAUUCCUGGUGUAGAGGUGAAAUUCGUAGAUAUCAGGAGGAACACCAGUGGCGAAGGGCGGACUU
rnacentral:rRNA from 1 species